rnacentral:rRNA from 1 species
AACGAACGCUGGCGGCAUGCCUAACACAUGCAAGUCGAACGAGACCUUCGGGUCUAGUGGCGCACGGGUGCGUAACGCGUGGGAACCUGCCCUUAGGUUCGGAAUAACUCCCCGAAAGGGGUGCUAAUACCGGAUAAUGUCUUCGGACCAAAGAUUUAUCGCCUUUGGAUGGGCCCGCGUUGGAUUAGCUAGUUGGUAGGGUAAAAGCCUACCAAGGCGACGAUCCAUAGCUGGUCUGAGAGGAUGAUCAGCCACACUGGGACUGAGACACGGCCCAGACUCCUACGGGAGGCAGCAGUGGGGAAAAUUGGACAAUGGGCGAAAGCCUGAUCCAGCAAGGCCGCGGGAGUGAUGAAGGCCUUAGGGUUGUAAAGCUCUUUUACCCGGGAUGAUAAUGACAGUACCGGGAGAAGAAGCUCCGGCUAACUCCGU